GUCGAGGAUCAUUCGCAAUGGGCGAAACCCUGAUCUAGCCAUGCCGCGUGAUCGAUGAAGGCCUUAGGGUUGUAAAGAUCUUUCAGCUGGGAAGAUAAUGACGGUACCAGCAGAAGAAGCCCCGGCUAACUCCGUGCCAGCAGCCGCGGUAAUACGGAGGGGGCUAGCGUUGUUCGGAAUUACUGGGCGUAAAGCGCACGUAGGCGGAUUGGAAAGUUGGGGGUGAAAUCGCGGGGCUCAACCCCGGAACUGCCUUCAAAACUCCCAGUCUUGAGGGCGAGAGAGGGUAGUGGAAUUCCGAGUGUAGAGGUGAAAUUCGUAGAUAUUCGGAGGAACACCAGUGGCGAAGGCGGCUCACUGGCUCGAUACUGACGCUGAGGUGCGAAAGCGUGGGGAGCAAACAGGAUUAGAAACCCUGGUAGUCC
rnacentral:rRNA from 1 species